UGGCUUGCAGCUCCCCUGGGGGCCGCCAUCUUGAAACAGCCAAGGCCAACCCCUCCCUUUGAAUUAGCCAAUCGCGAAAGACUGUGCGCCUGAGCUCCUAUCAAGAGCAAGGGACAGGUCACGUGCAUCAGGGAUUAUAAAGCCAAGCAGAGCACACUGCUCAUGUGGGAGG